CACUUCUGAGCUUUCCAAAACAACUGCAGCAGCAGCAGCUGCCGCUUCAGCAGCCACAGAAGUGUUGGUGUCACCAGGACACAGCCUCAGAAGAGCUUAAUAGAAGACCUUAAAUGAGGUUCUGGACCAGUGAUGCUGAGAGGGCCACCAUUUCUACACACUCUCUAUGACAGAGGAUGCAGGAGCAGAACAUGCUAGGGUCUCCUCCUACACAGGGCUCAUGGAGAGAUGCUGAUGAG
rnacentral:lncRNA from 10 species